AUAAAUCUUACCAGAGAGUGUUUGUGAAUUGGCAACGACUUCGAAUGGGGAGUUGCGAAUAAAGCGAAGAUAGGAAAAGUGCUGCAAAGGAUGUGGUGUGUGUUUAUUUAAUCGUGGAAUCGGUGGUGAUAGAAAUCGUCGAAUGCUAUCUGUGUUGCAAUGAAGGAGGACCCGGAGAACGAUAAAGACAAAGACGCGAGGAUUUGGGGAGCUUUACUCUUUGGCUUAAUUGGCGCCACCUUCACUACCUUUGCGGUCGGUCCGCUGCGGAGGAGUGUUGAUUGGUGCUAUGUUCAGCUAACGAGGACACAGUCACAUAAAGGACAGAGAGGUGGGUCGUUCCGAACAUCAUUUCAAGAAGAGGCUUGGAGGAGGCACAAUAAGCGAAUGCAAGAGGAGUACGAGGAGGAGAUGGAAAGAGUGGAACGAAUAAGGCGUAUGCAAAGCGUGUUUAACAGAGAAAGGAACAAGUAUAAAAGAAGCUACGAGAGCUGGAGGGAAAACGGUCAUGGUGCAUAUCAUCAGCAUUACCAGAGAGAUGAUUGGUACUGGAAGACUGAUACAUCCUUUAGAGAUCGGAGGACCAAUUAUCGAGAAACUCCAAGAGAGACUGGAAACUAUGCAUUAUCACAUCACUACUCAAUUUUGGGUCUUGACAGGUUUAGAAAAACGCCGUAUUCGGAUGCUGAGAUUAAGACAGCAUUUAGAACUAAGGCAAAGGAGUAUCAUCCUGAUCAAAACCAGGAUAAUAUUGAGGCUGCUGAGGCGAAGUUCAAGGAAGUGAUGACUUCAUACGAGGCCAUAAAAAAGGAAAGAAGAAACUAAAUCUGUUAAACUAUCCUGGGACCCGAAAGGAUGCGAGAAAAAUAUUUUACUGAUGGUGUUAAAGGAAAAAUAAUGAAGCUGGAUAUCAUGUCUGAGACUUGCAUAACUUGUUUGUCUUGUACAAAGUAUUGAAUCAGUGGUAGCGUGACGUGAUUGAGUAGCAAUGUCCUCGCCAAGCCUUGAUUGAGCGGCAAUGUCUUCGCCGAGUGCCGAACCCUGGGACCCUCGAUCCAAAUGCUUCUGAAGUUUAAAUAUUGUCCCAUGAAGUGUUGGACAUGCUAUUUCUUCCAUUGUUUAAAAUGUUUAAUAGCGUCCCUUUAUAUACUUGACACGUGUUGAAAUCUUAUUUUGGUCA